UACGGAGGGUGCGAGCGUUAAUCGGAAUUACUGGGCGUAAAGGGUGCGUAGGUGGUUGUAUAAGUUAUCUGUAAAAGCCCUGGGCUUAACCUGGGAAGGCCAGAUAAGACUGUAUGACUGGAGUAUGGGAGAGGGUAGUGGAAUUUCCGGUGUAGCGGUGAAAUGCGUAGAGAUCGGAAGGAACACCAGUGGCGAAGGCGGCUACCUGGCCUAAUACUGACACUGAAGUACGAAAGCGUGGGGAGCAAACAGG
rnacentral:rRNA from 1 species